GGGGCUCACAGUGUUACCCAAAGCACGCAGCUAGAAAGAUUAGUUUUGCAUCUACUCUGUACUAGGUGGAUAAUUUGUGCUGUUGUUAAUAUUUUUUGUUUUAACUCUAAAAGUAAUGUAAUCUCCACUAAUCAUCUAGGGAGCAAUGAUUAAACUUCAUGUAUAAUUUCUUCCCAUCAGAAUGUUCCAACUAUUUUGUAAAGUGUACACACCACCAUAACAUCUCUUCUCAGGCACUGAUUCUGAAGGAACAGGUUCUGGUUUGGCUUAGGUUGAACUCUGCUGCCAAUUCAUGAGACUGUCCAAUGUACAGUUACUACAGUAGGUCCUUUUGGCAGCAAACUUUAGAUUUCUAAAUCAUAAUGGAAUUCAGAUGCAGAAAAGGUAAUGCUGCUCUGAACAAUGUAAUUUUGUAGUAAAAGUAUAAAUCUUUAGACUGAAAGGGAGGGGCUAAUUGAAUAAGACAUUCCCAGAGUUAGAAGUCGCUCAAGUGUAUGUACGUUCUGAGACAUGGAUAUUUUAAUCUGUUUCCGGUGCCUAAAGCAGGGAACCUGAAAUUCAAUAUAAGAGUAUGAUAAAAAAAAUAAUUUCUAAAAAUCACAGGAAAAGACACCCUUCCAUCACAAUAGUAAAGGCUAUUAUUUGUAUUCAAAUAGCUGCAGACAAUGGGGAAUUCAGUCCUGAAGGAGAUCAGAAAUCUAUUCUUGGUUUGUACAGGAAGCUGAAGGAAAAAAUGUAGUGCUGGGAUGGAAUCUGCCUGGCAUCUGCAAAUGCCAUAGAAGUUUAACAAUUUUGAAGUUUAGCUAAUGAUGUGCUUAUCUAGUGCAGAACUAUCAGCUAAAACUGGAAGCCUGUGGGGAAGCCCUUCCCAACCAAAUGUUUUUAUGUGUAGUGUUUGGGAUCUUCCUGCACAUGCAGAACACUACAAGCCCUUUGGAAGGAACUGCUGUAUCUUGCUGAAUCUGUCACUGCAUCUGUCAUUGCAAGUGACCCAUAUUUAAAAGGAUUGCAAGUGUCUUUCAGUCACAGAAGAUGGGUCAUCUUGCCCUCAGGUCUGCCAGUAGCUGACAAAGUAGAAAGGUGUGCUUUUCUCUUUCAUUCUUGUAUAGAGUUAGAGGCAAUGUCAAUUCAAUCCAUGACUGAGGCUAUGCAAUGGUGCAAGUCUGUCCUACUACUUCAAAUUCAGUGAUGCAACCUGAGUUUAACUUUCAGGGAUUGAACCAAUUGAAAGCUUUUGGACUAUGACAAUUCUGGGGAAACACAGGUUUAUUUUCUUCAUUUACAUUUGUUUGCUCUCUCCAUCUCAUUCAAAGCAGUCAGGACUGGUUUGCUUCUCUCUUCUCUGGAAAAGUUCUCUGCACCAGGAACCAUUGUUAGAAU
rnacentral:lncRNA from 1 species